rnacentral:rRNA from 1 species
UUGUCGAAUCCUGCAAACCACCGCGAACACGUUUCAAAAAUCGCGGGCCGUCGGCGCGCUCAGGUUCGCCGGCGCCCGCACCUAACUUCACUUCCGGCGCGGAUUGCGCCAAGGACUACUAAAACGGAUCGUCCGCGUCCCCCUGCGGAUUCCGCAGGCGUGGCGCGGGGCGUCUGAAUCGUAACCAAUACGACUCUCGGCAACGGAUAUCUAGGCUCUCGCAUCGAUGAAGAACGUAGCGAAAUGCGAUACUUGGUGUGAAUUGCAGAAUCCCGUGAACCAUCGAGUUUUUGAACGCAAGUUGCGCCCGAAGCCAUUAGGCUGAGGGCACGUCUGCCUGGGCGUCACGCAUCGUCGCCGCCCCCCUCACCGCGCUCCGGCGCAUCGAGGCGGGUGACGGAUGUUGGCCUCCCGUGCCCCCGCGGCGCGGCCGGCCUAAAUCCGAGUCCUCCGCUCGGGACGUCACGACAAGUGGUGGUUGAAAACCUCAACUCGAUCGAAGCCGUGACCGAAUCCGUUCGGCAGAGCUCGCGCAAGACCCCGGAGCCUUUGGGCCCUCGACCAUGACCCCA